AACGAACGCUGGCGGCAUGCCUAACACAUGCAAGUCGAACGAGACCUUCGGGUCUAGUGGCGCACGGGUGCGUAACGCGUGGGAACCUGCCCUUAGGUUCGGAAUAACUCCCCGAAAGGGGUGCUAAUACCGGAUAAUGUCUUCGGACCAAAGAUUUAUCGCCUUUGGAUGGGCCCGCGUUGGAUUAGCUAGUUGGUAGGGUAAAAGCCUACCAAGGCGACGAUCCAUAGCUGGUCUGAGAGGAUGAUCCGCCACACUGGGACUGAGACACGGCCCAGACUCCUACGGGAGGCAGCAGUGGGGAAUAUGGGACAACGGGCGAAAGCCUGAUCCAGCAAUGCCGCGUGAGUGAUGAAGGCCUUAGGGUUGUAAAGCUCUUUUACCCGGGAUGAUAAUGACAGGACCGGGAGAAUAAGCUCCGGCUAACUCCGUG
rnacentral:rRNA from 1 species